rnacentral:rRNA from 1 species
AAAACAGAACUGUGGGGACAUUUGUGGAGAGCACAGGCGCGGAACGGAAAGCCGCGUGCAAGCGAAGGAGGAGUCACAUAGGAAAAACCGUGUGGCAGUCCAAAGGCGUGAUGCGGACCGAACUAAAGUAGGUAAGUGUGUGAGCCAUGAAUCAAGAAAAGCCGCUAUUGUUUUUAAGAUACCCGUACCGUAAACCGACACAGGUGGAUGAGGAGAGAAUCCUAAGGCCGGCGGAAGAAGCAUUGUUAAGGAACUCGGCAAAAUGACCCCGUAACUUCGGGAGAAGGGGUGCCAACGAGAGUUGGCCGUAGAGAACAGGCUCAAGCAACUGUUUAGCAAAAACACAGGUCUAUGCAAAACCGUAAGGUGAGGUAUAUGGGCUGACGCCUGCCCGGUGCUGGAAGGUUAAGAGGAGAGGUUAGCGGUAACGCGAAGCUUUGAAUUUAAGCCCCAGUAAACGGCGGCCGUAACGAUAACGGUCCUAAGGUAGCGAAAUUCCUUGUCGGGUAAGUUCCGACCCGCACGAAAGGCGUAAUGAUUUGAGCGCUGUCUCGACAAUGCAUCCGGUGAAAUUGAAGUACCAGUGAAGAUGCUGGUUACCCGCGCCAGGACGGAAAGACCCCAUGGAGCUUUACUCCAGUUUGGUACUGGGGUCCGGCAGUGCAUGUACAGGAUAGGUGGGAGGCUGUGAACCUGGAACGCCAGUUUCAGGGGAGCCAUUGUUGGGAUACCACCCUUGUGCUGCUGGGCUUCUAACCAGCGGCCUUUAUCAGGCCGGGGGACAAUGCCAGACGGGGAGUUUGACUGGGGCGGUCGCCUCCGAAAGGGUAUCGGAGGCGCUCAAAGGUUCCCUCAGAAUGGUCGGAAACCAUUCGAAGAGUGCAAAGGCAGAAGGGAGCUUGACUGCGACACCGACGGGUGGAGCAGGUACGAAAGUAGGACUUAGUGAUCCGGUGGUAUUAAGUGGGAAUGCCAUCGCUCAACGGAUAAAAGCUACCCUGGGAUAACAGGCUUAUCACUCCCAAGAGUUCACAUCGACGGAGUGGUUUGGCACCUCGAUGUCGGCUCAUCGCAUCCUGGGGCUGUAGUAGGUCCCAAGGGUUGGGCUGUUCGCCCAUUAAAGCGGUACGCGAGCUGGGUUCAGAACGUCGUGAGACAGUUCGGUCCCUAUCCGGCGUGGGCGUAGGAUAUUUGAGAGGAGCUGUCCUUAGUACGAGAGGACCGGGAUGGACUGACCUCUGGUGUACCGGUUGAACCGCCAGGUUCACGGCCGGGUAGCCAAGUCGGGAAGGGAUAAACGCUGAAGGCAUCUAAGCGUGAAGCCCCCCUCAAGAUGAGAUAUCCCAUUCGAAAGAAGUAAGACCCCUUGAAGACGACGAGGUAGAUAGGGCAGAGGUGGAAGUGCCGUAAGGCAUGGAGCUGACUGUUACUAAUCGGUCGAGGGCUUGAC